GCCCCUCCCCCAGCUUCUCUGCGGCCUUGCAGUUUGAUCUCAGACUGCUGUGCUAGCAAUCAGCGAGACUCCGCGGGCGUAGGACCCUCCGAGCCAGGUGCGGCAGAUAAUCUCCUAGUGCGCCGUUUUUUAAGCCCGUCAGAAAAGCGCAGUAUUCGGGUGGGAGUGACCUGAUUUUCCAGGUGCCGUCUGUCACCACUUUCUUUGACUAGGAAAGGGAACUCCCUGACCCCUUGCGCUUCCCAAGUGAGGCAAUGCCUCGCCCUGCUUUGGCUCGCGCACAGUGCGCGCACCCACUGACCUGCGCCCACUGUCUGGCACUCCCUAGUGAGAUGAACCCGGUACCUCAGAUGGAAAUGCAGAAAUCACCCAUCUUCUGCGUCGCUCACGCUGGUAGCUGUAGACCGGAGCUGUUCCUAUUCGGCCAUCUUGGCUCCUCCUCAAUUUUUGUAUAUAGUGAAAGUGCUUCAGAGGUACAGUCCUUUUCCAAGAACCACCGCCAUGCCAUUGCCACUGGUACCUCUCCUCACUCAACUCCUCUCCUGGUGGUGCUUUGAAGAUGGCUGGAACUCUAGUCUUUACUCAGCUACUAAAGUUGGCUGUCUUCCAGCAGCCUUCCCAACUCCUGCUGAAAGAAGGAAAAAGGUAGAAAGGAACAUGUGAGAUGGUAGAGAGACGUGCACUGUUCAAUGUAACUCCACAUCUUCAGCAAAUCCUGUUAAACUAAAAAAAAAUGAUGCUGACUUCUAAGUCCAGGUGAAUGCACGACAGAGACAACACAUGCAGAUUCAGGAGCCAUUGGCGGGGAAUACCAGGAGAAUAACUCCUGGAAAUGCACAAAAAUCAUAAGGAGGGCUUUGGAUUUCAAGGCUUUGGAAUUGGAAGUUUUGCAUCAAGUUUACAUGUAUCUCCAGGACAGCUGAUAUUGGAUACUCAUUUAAAAGAAGACUUUUCAGUACCCAGUUGGAAAUAAAGCUUUAGAAUCCAAGUAUCCCUGAGGGAGAUGACUCUGGCAAAAAUGCACACUGAGGUAUAAAGAACUCAUGCCAUUCAAAAGCCUUAUUCAAAAGUACAUGUGGGAGGGCAGCAGGAAUCUGAAGUAGAAGAGGAGAAGAGAUGCUGGUAUGGGAAGGGAGGUGGUGAGAAGGAAGGCAUAUCUGCAACUGGGCCAAUUAAAAUGUGCAGCAUGUACAGGAGGUGGGAGAAUAAUCAAAUGAAUAACAAGUAUUAACUUUUCUGUAUUGCUAAGUUGUAAACUUAAAGGAGACAUUUUAAAAGGAUCUUAAAUUCUGUUCCUCAAUCUCAGUGACAUGAGAUAAUAUGCAUAUUGCUACAUCUUUUCUUUUUAAUGACCUAUAAAAGCAAUCAGGUGUGAGAACUUGAAAUUUUGUGAUCUGUUA
rnacentral:lncRNA from 1 species